rnacentral:lncRNA from 1 species
UAUUGACAAAAAGUUUAUAACUAAGAUGAAAAUAAUUUUGCUAUUUUUUCUAUAUAGGCAUAAUUUUCUUAGAUCAACAUUCAUGUCCUUUUUGUUUUCGUGUGCUUAUUUAAAGAUUUUUCAUAUAUCAGUGGUUUUAUCAGUUCAUGAAUAAUUCUUUCACCAAUCUACAGAUUUCUUCCGUUGAAGAAAAUAAAAUGUUUUCCUGUAAAUUUUUAGUGUUAAGUAAAUAAUUUCUAUGAUAAAAACCAAAAAAAAAUAGCUGUUCCAUGUGACCUAAACAAAAUCAUGGGAUGCAAGUACACAUUUUAUUAUAAGGCUUUGUUAAUUUUGGGAUUUUAUUUGCCAGUUAUUUGUGUAUUGUUUUCUGCUUUGUGAUAGUAUCUAAUUAUUGAGGUGUACAACAUUCUAAGUAUUUUCAAAUAUUGUCAUAAAUGUCAAUAUGGGACAGACACCAGUGUUUUUUUUUUAUUAUAAUUAGCUUAAUUAAAAUUUGAUUUGAUUUUU